AUGACACACACUGACGGAAUGCAGUCAAAUACACCUGGAAUUAACACCGAAAUAUAUCAGAGGAUAAUCGAGCAAGACCAACUGGAGUUAAAAACAUGUGAGUACUCUGAUCACAAUCUACAGGAUUUGGAACAUGACAUAGACCCGGACAAUAAUUUCUUCUCGAAUAUUAACAAUGACAACAAAUGCUGCUACUACACAGAUGACCAGUAUAACCGGGACAUUACAUCAAAGGGCAAACUAUCAAUUAUACACUUUAAUAGCAGGAGUAUGUAUACAAAUUUCAAUAAUAUCAAGGAAUAUGUAAAUAAAUUCACACAACCAUUCAACAUAAUUGCCAUAUCUGAAACAUGGAUCAACACGGACAAAGGGAUAGACUUCGAACUAAAUGGUUAUGAACUCAGGUAUAAUAACAGAAAAAACAAGGGUGGAGGAGGAGUAGCAAUAUACGUGGAUGUGUCGUUAAACUUUAGGGUAUUGGAUUGUAUGACAACUGUGGUUGAUAACUUACUGGAAUGUAUAACAAUUGAAAUCUGUAAAGAAAAACACAAAAAUGUCAUAAUUAGCUGUAUAUAUAGGGCUCCUGGGUCUAGCAUUGAAAUAUUUAAUGAAUGGAUAGAGGGCAUGUUUUCUCAAAUAAAUAGCAAAAUAGUUUUUAUCUGUGGAGAUUUCAAUAUCGACCUGUUAAAUCCUAACAAACACAACAUUACAGAGGAAUUUGUCAAUACAAUGUACAGUAUGAGCCUAAUUCCGAAAAUCAUCAGACCCAGUAGAAUUACAUCCCACUGUGCCACUUUGAUUGAUAAUAUAUUCACAAAUGAAAUCGAAAACAACACAAUAAGUGGAUUAUUGAUUAAUGAUAUCAGUGACCACUUGCCAGUCUUUACAAUCUAUGACUGCAAUUACAAGAAUAAGCUAGAUAAUCAAACAGAUUACAAAAGAGUGAAGUCAGAAGAAUCCAUCAACGCCCUAAAAAACGACUUAGUGGCUCAGAACUGGGAAAUAAUACACCAAGCAAAUGACAUUGACUGUGCAUACGAAAAUUUUCUACGAAUAUUUAGGUCAUUAUAUGAUAAAAACUGUCCAAUUCAAGAAUACAUUAUACAACUAAAAUAUACCAAAUGUCCAUGGAUCACAAAGGGAUUACGAAAUGCCUGUAAAAAGAAAAACACACUUUACAGAGAU
rnacentral:lncRNA from 1 species